rnacentral:rRNA from 1 species
UACGGGGGUGCGAGCGUUAAUCGGAAUAACUGGGCGUAAAGGGCACGCAGGCGGGCUUUUCAGGUGGAUGUGAAAUCCCCGGGCUUAACCUGGGAAUAGCAUUUCAGACUGGGAGUCUAGAGUACUUUAGGGAGGGGUAGAAUUCCACGUGUAGCGGUGAAAUGCGUAGAGAUGUGGAGGAAUACCGAAGGCGAAGGCAGCCCCUUGGGAAUGUACUGACGCUCAGGUGCGAAAGCGUGGGGAGCAAACGGG